GGGAAAACGCAGAGUCCAACAAUGGGAUAAAAAUGUGCCUCAAGAGUGGGUAAAUUGAACUCCCCCAAGCCACUGAAGAUUGCUAAGGGUCUUCAUUUUGGCAAUAUAGAUCCAAAUAUUUGUUAACAGAGGUUGCCAAAGGACUUUGUCUCCAUUAUAUAGAGUUAACAGAGAUGCAUGAACAUGUAUUAGAAAAAUGAUUCACACGCAAUAGAAAAAUUAAGUAAGACCAGGAUUGGGUGGCUUUGGAGAACGUAAUUUCAACUUGAACGUGAAGAUGCUUGUAGAACAGUGUUCCUUCCUCUGAACAUGGCUACAGAAGAACAAAUCACUUAGUCUGAAGAUGAAAACAAGAAGCUGAUGGAAGACACAUUCUGAACUAGCUAACACAACACUCUGAAACUGGAGGAUAUCAACUGAUAAGAUAUGAAGUUCUCCCUUAGUUUCAAAUACACUGGGUUCAUAAAUUAUUAACAUAAACAAUGGAUGUCCCGUCAAGCUACCAUGAAGAUAGCUAGGUCUGCACAACUCCUCAAGUGUCGACCCCUCCAAGCACAUCCUCCACCUGGAACUGUGAACCGAAUGGAUAAAUGUGUUGGUCAGAAAG
rnacentral:lncRNA from 1 species